rnacentral:lncRNA from 1 species
GGUUAUAGUACAUCUCUCCCUUGGUACAUAAUGUUCCCCGAAGAAUGUUGACUCGGCUAAGAUACUGAGGAAAAGAUAAGACGAAGCAUGGGGCACCUAUGAACUGAAUCAUAACCAUAUAUUUGGGAUCUAAAACUGAGGCAUGAUAUAUAAACUGAGUUAAACUUGUAACUACCAGAAUGCUCCAUUCUAGAACGGUCAUAUUCAUAAGACUAUGGAUAGGACGACUGGGUGAAAAGAUGGGAAACCAUACGAGCUUGUCCGCCU